rnacentral:rRNA from 1 species
GACGAACGCUGGCGGCGUGCUUAACACAUGCAAGUCGAGCGGUAAGGCCCUUUCGGGGGUACACGAGCGGCGAACGGGUGAGUAACACGUGGGUGACCUGCCCUCAGCUCUGGGAUAAGCCUGGGAAACCGGGUCUAAUACUGGAUAUGACUCCAUGACGCAUGUUGUGGGGUGGAAAGCCUUGUGCGGCUGAGGAUGGGCCCGCGGCCUAUCAGCUUGUUGGUGGGGUGAUGGCCUACCAAGGCGACGACGGGUAGCCGGCCUGAGAGGGCGACCGGCCACACUGGGACUGAGACACGGCCCAGACUCCUACGGGAGGCAGCAGUGGGGAAUCUUGCGCAAUGGGCGAAAGCCUGACGCAGCGACGCCGCGUGAGGGAUAACGGCCU